CUCCCUGGCAGCUGCGCGCCCCGUCUCCUCCUUUCGCGCUUGCGCGCGCCUUCUCCGCACCUUCUCCGCUCCCCCUGCCUCGCUGCUUUAGGAGCAGUUGGGCGGCGGGCCAGUCGGGGCCGGUCUUGGAGCAAGCUACCGAGCUGUUGGGGCGCUGUGGCGAUGGUGGAGUCAGCGGCAGCGGCGGCGGAGCGGGAGAAUGAGUUGGACCCCGAGCACCGGGCCCUCUUCAACCUGGGGCCCUGGGUGAAGUGCUCUGCCGCCCUUGCUUCCAGAAUCCUUGCCCAGAGUCCAGUGCCUACUUCCUGUCCAGGAUCACCUUCUGGUGGAUCACAGGGUUGAUUGUCCAGGGCUACCACCAGCCCCUGGAGAGCAGUGGCCUCUGGUCCUUAAACAAGGAGGAUUUGUCCUCGGAACAAGUCUUGCCUGUUUUGGUAAAGAACUAGAAGAAAAAAUGCACCAAGUCUAGGAAAUAAGUUGGAUGACAAGUAUUUGUUCAGUACCUGCUGUGCACUGUUUAUAAUUAUAUACUGAGGAUAUAGCAGCCCACCUGGAGCUGACAUUCUAGUGGGGAAAGAAAAUGCUUGGGAACCUGGAGGCUAUGCCCUUUCCUUCCUGCGGUUCCUUACAUCCUGGUUCUGGGAAGUGAGCUUCACAUGUCAGAGAUACUGCUAUCUGGGCUAGGUUUUACCCAUUGCUGCUGGUACAGGAUGCUGGCUCAGGCCAAACAGCUUGAGAACUUCCUGAAGCAUACACAAGUUUCAAUACCGAAUUGAUCAGGUUGAAGAAAGGAUGUAAGAGAUUAAAGAUCAACUCAAUGAAAUAAAGCAAGAAGGCAAGAUUAGA